GAGCAAGACUCUGUCUUAAAACAAAACAAAAAAAAGUCUGCUUAUGUAUACCAGGAAAUAUGUACAAAAAUGUUCUUGCAGCAUUGUUUAUACAGUUAAAUAUCAGAAUGUUCCAAAUGCCUUUCAAAAGUAGAGUUGACAGAUUAUGGUAGAUUCAUAAAAUGAAAUACUGUUGCCGAACACCAGGGGUUCAGCCUAGGCCUGGUUGCUUGCCGCACAGAAAGCCAAUCACUGAGAUGAAUAUUGCCAGGGAAGAACAGCUUUAAUGCCAGUAAUGUCAGCCAGGAGAUGGGAGACCAGUCUCAAAUCCAUCUCUCCAAUUGACUAAAGUUAGGGGUUUAUAUAGUAGGGAAGGAACGUAAAACAAGAAUUAGGGAGGAGUAAGGAAGAGGAGUUGGUCAACGGGCAGCAGGUGGUUGGAUGAGGGGUCUGGUGUCUCACCGUAACCAUAUGCAGGAAAACAGAAAUUCGGGAGGUAUAAAGAAGAGGAGUUUGUCAACAGGCAGCAGCCAUGUCUCAUUGUCUGGAUGUGGUGAUAUGGGAGAUUUCAGUUCCUCGAUUCUCUCUGGGAGGCCUGAUGGUUGGUUUCCUGAGAAAGGAACUCAGAUAAAAACAAAUAUAAGUUUCUCAAUUUUCAGUUUAGUGCAAAAACUGGGUUGAUUUCAAUACUAUACAGGCAAGAAGAUAAAGCACAGCUAUAUGUUAAAACGUGGAUCAAUCUUAAAAGCAUAAUGUUGAAUGAAAGAAACCAAACACAAGAGAAUACAUACUGUACGACUCUAUGAUGUUAAUAAAAACAGGCAAAACUAAACUACACAAAUAGGAAGUCAUGCUUAAGUGGUAAAAUGUUAAAGAAAAGUAAGGAAGUGGUGACCAUAAAAGUCAAUGUUUGGAUCCUGAAUCAAACAAUCUAACUAUUAAAAGAUAUAUUUUGGUCGGGUGUGGUGGCUCACACCUGUAAUCCCAGCACUUUGUGAGGCCAAGAUGGAAGGAUCACUUGAGGCUGGAAGUUAGAGACCAGACUGGGCAACAGAGCAAAACUCUAUCUCUACAAAAAAAAUUCAAAUUAGGUGCACUUGGUUUCUCAAGUCACCCACUUAGCCCUCUUCCAAGUUGUACUUUCCUUCUUUUCUUUCCUUUCCUUACUGUUCUAAAGCUUUUAAAUAAACUUUCACUCCUGCUUUGAAAAAAAUAAAAAUUAGCCAGGAUGGUCUCGAUCCCCUGACCUCGUGAUUAGCCCGCCUCGGCCUCCCAAAGUGCUGGGAUUACAGGCAUGAGCCACCCUUUUUUGUUUUUUUUUUUUUUUUGAUAUGGAUUUUCGCUCUUGUUGCCCAGGCUGGAGUGCAAUGGCUUGAUCUCGGCUCACCACAACCUCCGCCUCCCGAUUUCAAGUGAUUCUCCUGCCUCAGCCUCCCGAGUAGCUGGGAUUACAGGCAUCCACCGCCAGGCCUGGCUAAUUUUGUAUUUUUAGUAGAGACGGGUUUCUCCAUGUUGGUCAGGCUGGUCUCGAACUCCCGACCUCAGGUGAUCCACCCACCUUAGCCUCCCAAAGUGCUGGGAUUACAGGUGUGAGCCACUGCGCCUGGCUGGGCCAAACUUUUUCAUUGUGGUAAACUAUAUAUAACAUAAAAAUUUCUGGAAAGGCUCACUGUAGCUGCCACCUCCCAGGUUCAAGUGAUUCUCCUGCCUCAGCCUC
rnacentral:lncRNA from 1 species